rnacentral:misc_RNA from 1 species
CGUGCGCGCCUGCUUUGCAGUGGGCACGGAAAGCAUCUGUUUCUCUCUUCACUCUUGCGUUCUGGCGCGUGCGGACAGGCGAGUGUGAAGGCAAUAAAGUAGACUUGCUCGUCGUCUCUUCUUCUACUGUAAGCCCCGACCACCAUCGCCUGCAGCUCAUAUCUCACCCCCCCACCUCCCUCACACAAAAACACACAAACACUACCCACCCUUUAGCGCCGUGCCCAUCUCAUCAUCUUCCCAUCUUAAGAGAAGAGGACAUAUCCUUUUCUCCACGUUUUUCACGAAAACGUUCCGACGUUGCGCGCUCAUCAUGAAGUCCUUGGCUCCCGAAAUGGCGGCCACGUACGAUCCGGCCGCGGUGGAGGCGGACUGGUAUCCGUGGUGGGAGAAGUCUGGCUUCUUCAGACCCGCCUCAGACCACAAGUCCGAGACGGCGACCAAGCCGUUCGUGAUUAUCGCCCCACCACCGAACGUCACGGGCUACCUGCACCUGGGCCAUGCCCUCACGGGCGCUGUGCAGGACACCCUCAUCCGCUUCCACCGCAUGAAGGGUGACAACACCCUCUACUUGCCCGGCACCGACCACGCCGGCAUCGCCACCCAGGUCGUCGUGGAGCGCCGCGUCAUGAAGGAGGAGGGCAAGAGCCGGCACGACCUCGGCCGCGACGAGUUCAUGAAGCGCCUGUGGGAAUUCAAGAAGAAUCACGCUGGCAUGAUCACGGAGCAGUUCCGCAGGAUCGGCUUGUCGCUGGACUGGACGCGCGAGCGCUUUACGAUGGACGAACAGUCGUCUGCGGCUGUUGUGGAGGCGUUUGUGCGCCUGCACGAGGACGGCCUGGUGCACCGCGACACACGGCUGGUAAACUGGUGCUGCGCGCUGCAGAGCGCCAUCUCUGACCUCGAGGUGGAGUUUGUCGAAGUGCCCAAGACAUCCAAGAUGACCAUUCCUCUCUAUGACCGCAAAGUCGACAUGGGCAGCCUCACUCACGUUGCCUACAAGCUGGCGGACAGCGACGACGAGCUGGUGAUUGCGACGACGCGUCCUGAGACGCUGCUGGGCGAUACGGCCGUCGCCAUUCACCCUGACGACGAGCGCUACAAGAAGUUCCAUGGCAAGUUCCUCAAGUGCCCGUUCCGCGACGACAUCAUCCCGAUCGUGCUGGACGCGACGCUGGUCGACAUGAACUUCGGCACCGGCGCGGUGAAAAUCACCCCAGCUCACGACCCAAACGACUUUGAGUCCGGCAAGCGCCACAACCUGCAGCAGCUUGUCAUGAUGAACCUGAAGGGCUACGUGACGAUGGAGCCGUUCAAGGGCAUGCACCGCUUCGACUGCCGCCGCGAGAUCGUGAAGAAGCUGGAGGAGAUGGGGCUGCUGCGCGGCGUGGAGCCGUACGAGUACCGCGUAGGCCGCUGCGAGCGCACUGGCGACAUUGUGGAGCCGAUGCUGAUGCCGCAGUGGUUCAUCGACUGCUCCGAUAUGGCCCGCCGCUCCGUCGAGGCGGUGCGCAACGGCGACCUGCGCCUGUACCCGCCUUCGCACGAGGCCGUCUGGUACCACUGGCUGGAGAACAUCAAACCGUGGUGCGUGUCGCGUCAGCUCUGGUGGGGCCACCGCAUUCCUGCCUACAAAGUUGUCGGCUCGCUGCCGAAAGACGUGGACCCAUGGGUGGUCGCCCGCAAUCUGCAGGAGGCGCACGCGAAGGCUAAGAAGAAGUUCGGCCUGACUGACGAGCAGGUCGCCGAGGCCUCGUUUGAGCAGGACCCGGAUGUGCUGGACACCUGGUUCAGCUCCGGACUCUGGCCCUUCGCCACGCUUGGAUGGCCCACCGACUCGGACGACAUGAAGCGCUUCUUCCCGAACUCGCUGAUGGAGACCGGCCACGACAUCCUGUUCUUCUGGGUGGCUCGCAUGGUAAUGCUUUCGCUGCACUUCACAAACAAGCUGCCGUACAAGGAGGUGUUUCUGCACGCAAUGGUGCGCGACAAGAAUGGCGAGAAGAUGUCCAAGUCGAAGGGCAACGUCAUCGACCCACUCUACGUCAUCCACGGCGUUUCGCUGCAGACCCUCCACAACACCGUGCGCAGCGGCAACCUGGGCGACAAGGAGGUGGAGAAGGCCAUCAAGCAGCAGAAGGAGUUUUUCCCAGAAGGCAUUCCAGAGUGCGGUAGCGAUGCCCUGCGCUUCGGCCUCCUCUCCUACACCCAGUCUGGCCGCAGCGUGAACCUCGACAUCCAACGCGUCGUGGCCUACCGCCAGUUCUGCAACAAGCUGUGGAACGUGGUGCGCUACGUGCUGUAUCACGCCCUGGGCACUGACUACGUGCCCAGCAAGCAGCAGUUCAGCCCCGCCGAGGACGCCGCCAUGCUGCCGCUCGAGUGCCGCUGGAUUCUCUCGCGCCUCGACGCCGCCAUCGCGGAGGCCACGCAGGGCAUGUCGGAGGGCCUCUACGACUUCGCGUUGGCCACCGGUGCCGUCUACCGCUUCUGGCUGCACGAGCUGUGCGACGUGUUCCUUGAGUUGACGAAGCCGACCAUUCAGAAGGGCGGAGAGAAGCAGCAGCUGGUGCAAGACGUGCUGCUGCACGUCGUCGAGAAGGCGCUUCGGCUGCUACACCCGAUGAUGCCGUUUCUCACGGAGGAGCUUUGGCACCGCCUGCCCAACUACAGCAGCUUCGGCAGCGAGUCGAUCAUGCUCGCCAAGUACCCGACACCGAGCGGAUGGUUGAGCGCGGCGUCGGAUAGCGCCAUGUCGAUCAUUCUCGACGUCGUGCACAGCGUACGUUCCACCAAGGCCUCGUACUCGCUAACGAACAAGCACAAGCCAGACGUGUGGGUGACGGCGCAUACGGCGGAGCUGCAGGAGCUGUUCGCGGCGGAAAAGAUGAUGAUCUCAACCCUCGGUGUCGUGGGCGAGGUGACUGUCGUGUCCCCGGCCGAGGAGACAGCGGCGGUGCCGAAGGGCUGCGGCUUCUCCGUGGUGACAAAGGAGGUGGGCGUGAACAUGAUGCUCAUGGGUUUCAUCGACGUCGGGAAGGAGGUGGCGAAGCUGGAGAAGCAGCUGGACGGCCUCAUGAAGCAGAUUGAGGGAAUGAAGAAGAAGAUGUCUAUCCCUAAUUACGAAACUAAGGUGCCGGCCGAGAUCCGCGUGACCAACACGGAGAAGCUCAAGACGCUAGAGGCGCAGAGCGCGCAGCUGCGCGAUGGCAUCGAGAAGAUGAGCAGCCUCAAGUGAACACAACAGCUCUCUCUCCUCUGGGUUCUCUUUUCGGCAGUAUAAACGCCACCACUGCAACCGUCAUCAGUACCGAAAAAGGUGAAGCCGCUGAGCUCGUUGGCUAUCGAUCUGUGCAUGCAUCUGUGUGCCCACAAACACGGAGGUGCCGAUGUGCGCCCUAGGAGCAGUACGGUCUAAGAGGCCGUUUUCGUUUUUUCUUUUGUGUGUGUGUGCCUUGAUGAUGAUGGGGGUGGGGUGGGCUUUCUAAUGCGGAUUGCGUAACUGCGCCCGCUGACAUGAAAUGCGUAAGUCUUUCUUUCUGUGUGCUUGCCUAUUAGGAAGGCCGGACUCAGCCACAAAGAUAAGCAGAGGCAGAGAGUUGCAGGGGUGGCGAAUCGCCCCUCCCCCUGCCCUCCGUGUGCUCUCCUCACUUGUUGCCGUUCUUUGUUGUUGGCGUGUGUGUGCCGCUUUUUGUUUUCGACGUUAUGUUCCUUCCGAACGUCUUUUUUCCCUUUCUCCUUCUGCGUGUAUCCGCUCUCCCUUCCUCUGCUUCAGUGCUGUGGAUACCUUCGCGACCAAUGCCGUCUUCCAUUCGUUGUUGUAUCUGUUCUCAUGUGUGCGUGUGUGUGUGUGUGUGAAUGAGUAUACUCCCGUUUGAGAGAACCACCCCGCAUUUGCGGGGUGCCUCCACGGUAUAGCGGCUUGAUCCACUCCGCUGUGUUGGUUCGCUCCCCAUACAAUGAGGCCCUUCCUCUAUGAGGAUGUGAGCAAUGACAGAGGGCAACAUUCGUGAGUAGUGAGACUGAAACAAAGGUUGUACACACGAGGCGAACGCUAAGAAGGCGUAUGCACUGUUGCGGCGGAGAACCCUGCCCUCUCCCCUCUCCGACUCGCGUAUGUGAUGGUGUACAUGUGUCUGGAUAGGAAUGGAAGGGGGAUCAUGAUGGAAUGCCAGGGGCCCGGGUUAUGGAGCCGGUGAGCAGCAGCAACCCUCUCUUGUUGUCUUGUAGCCUAAUAAGAAAGACACACAAACAAAAAAGCCAAUGCUGUGCUUCUCCGAUAUGCCUGGAAGAAUGCUAUGCUGGCACUAGCACGCGUUCGAUCGCAUGCCCAGGUGAGGAAAAGACAAGGUGCUUUAAUGUAACGCCGCUUCGUACCCUGUAUUUUCUUCGCUGACACAUUCGCAUGUAGUGAGCCGUACUUGAAAAGUAACCGGGUGGGCGUCGAGGAGAACGGACUCAUGCACACCGUGUUGCAGCUGG